GAUAGCUCAGCCGGUAGAGCGACGGACUGUUAAUCCGCAGGUCGCUGGUUCGAACCCAGCU
rnacentral:tRNA from 2 species